UUUGUGGGGUGCUCGAGUGGCGAACGGGUGAGUAACACGUGAGUAACCUGCCCUUGACUUUGGGAUAACUUCAGGAAACUGGGGCUAAUACCGGAUAGGAGCUCCUGCUGCAUGGUGGGGGUUGGAAAGUUUCGGCGGUUUGGGAUGGACUCGCGGCUUAUCAGCUUGUUGGUGGGGUAGUGGCUUACCAAGGCUUUGACGGGUAGCCGGCCUGAGAGGGUGACCGGCCACAUUGGGACUGAGAUACGGCCCAG
rnacentral:rRNA from 1 species